rnacentral:rRNA from 1 species
CAGUAGCCGCGGGAAUACAGAGGGUGCAAGCGUUAAUCGGAUUUACUGGGCGUAAAGGGCGCGUAGGUGGUUAUUUAAGUGAGAUGUGAAAGCCCCGGGCUUAACCUGGGAACUGCAUCUUAUACUGGGUAACUGGAGUGCAGUAGAGGGUAGUGGAAUUUCCGGUGUAGCGGUGAAAUGCGUAGAUAUCGGAAGGAACACCAGUGGCGAAGGCGGCUACCUGGACUGAGACUGACACUGAGGCGCGAGAGCGUGGGGAGCAAACAGGAUUAGAUACCCCCGUAGUCCCUGUCUCUUAUAC